rnacentral:lncRNA from 1 species
GUUGCUUCAGUUUUCUCUUCCCUUGGCCAGAAACACACUAAAUCGUCUCCAAGUUCAAAGCAUUCAACAAACAGUGGCAAGGCAGAGUCACCAGAAAUGUGCACCUGAUUUCCAUGACAAAUAUGGUCAAGCUGUAUUAGAUAGGAGCCACUUUCUGUAUUGCUGUAUGGACAAAUACAGCAAAACAAAUUGAAAUCUAAUAGAACCUUCCCCCUGUUGGCAGAAUCGCCCCAAAGGAAUGGAGAGAUUAGUACUCACGCGAUCUGAUGUAAUAGUGAAUUUUGAAACCAACUCAUAAUUGAUGCCAAGUAAAAGCACUGUGAACCUAUUAAAUG